UCGUUCGAGAGAGGAAGUGGACGACGGGUGGAGGGUCGAGGGACAAGUUAAAGUAUUAAGUAGCCGUCGCUGCGUCCGCUGUCAGUCUCCGCUCUAAUUAAUUGUAAUUGACGGCCGCGCGAAGCCUCGCACAUUGCUCGCACUGUCCUCCCUCUACAUCUCCUCUACCACCUUCUACUCGUUGAGCACCAUGUCGUACUGCAUAAUCGUCCCUAGGAGAUCUUCUCUCUCUCUCUCUCUCUCUCUCAAUCUCUCCCUCCCCCUCUCCCUCAAUAUUUAAAAAUCUUUCCUAGAUCAUCAAGAAGAGAAAAAAAAGAAACUUCAUUGAUAUCGAUAUUCUUAUUAAUUUGAUCGAUCAAUAUCUUUUUAGGAUUACUUUGAAUACUCAAUGGAAGAUCCCUCGAAGAAAUUAUAAAGAGGAGGCAAAAUCGAUGGCAAAAAAGAAGCAAAUGAUGUAACUGGUCGCCCAAUUUGCAUGAUUAGCACUGGCCCUCUUUUUUCUCCGCUUCGGUUAGCCGGUUCGCAUCAACGGGCCACGCGCUAGAUACUUGGAUUCUCACGGGUUAUACACAAGCGAUUUAUCGAUUGGAUAUGUAAGAGAAUGUAUGUUGACGAUAAGAAAAAGAGAGAGAGGAAAAAAAAAGGAGGAAAACAAGAGAAAGAACCAGCUAGAAAAAUGAAUGUACGAGAAUGCUUGUAAUUCUAUAAGUCUAGGAAACACUAGGUAAAUGUGUAACAAACGUGGAUUUCUUUCGGAGACGGUUGUUUCCCAACGUCAAAGGAACUUGGGAAAAAAAAUUCGAGGCGAGGUGUAUGGGAAAGGGAGGAGAGUGAGUUGGACCACGUGGAGUACGAUUUCAGUGGUUGACACGCACGCGAUAUGGCGCCUGGCGAUGCACACAGCAUUAAUAGCACCUGCAAGUACAAACGUACUGUAAAAACAUGUACCUGCAUAGAUGACUCUUUCUCUCUCUCUCUCUCUCUCUCUCUCUCUCUCUCUCUCUCUCUCUUUCUCUCUUUCUUUCCCACAUACACAGUCAUUUGCAUUCUUCAACGUGCCUAUGGGACAGAGUAUUUUUUGCGAGUUUCGUGGAUGUGCACGUAUAAUGCAUGCAAUCCGGACACAUAGAAAAAAAUAUACACAGAAACGAGCAUGAGCCCGCGCGCGGGUGUAUGUAUUGGUAUAUGUAUGCGCGACCGACGAAACGGAGCUUCAACGUAAUGAUAUGGUUUUCGGUUUCUGUAUUGAAAUACGAUUCUCAGUGGGGUAGGUCACGCCGCACUGCUAACACCCAGAAUGUGUUUGUACUUACGAACGUAUAAAUACACGUAAUACAUAUAACAUAAAUACAGCUUGCUGAUGUAUAAAUGUUGUAAUUUAUCCAUAGAAGAAUAAUGUCCUUCGAUUUUUAUUCGGUUUCUUAUUAAAAUGGAAAAUCCUUAUGAGAUCGAAAAGCUUCUAUCCGUUUGUAUAUCUAAUAUGGACGUGAUUGGAUAAUAAUCAUUUCUAUUAUUUUUCAAAAAAUUGUAAAGAAAGUAUUUUGAUGUUAAUAGUAUCGGAUUUUAAAGAAUAUUAAUAAAUGGAAUUAUUCCGUAACUAAUAUAAAAAUUAAUAGUCGAGAAAAUUGUCUAUUAUGAAGAAAAAUAUCCCGCUUAAUAUUAGCAUACUUACAAAUAGUUUAAUCUAUAUUCAUGGAUCAGGUGGUAAGUGCCAUCAUCACGUUACAAAGUUGUCCUUUCGACGGUUACGAGGCAAUGAGUACCGGUGCACCGCUUUAAUUCUUGUCUAGGAUUACGAACACCCAACGAUCGACUCUCGAUAAUCACUCACCUGACACUUCGACUUAAGUGCUCCUUGUCCUUGUGUAUAUUUUCUUCCGUUCUUUUAAAGAUAUUUGUUUUCGUUCAAUUCAUUGCUGUUUCCUUUCUUUUUUUUUUUUUUUCAAAUUAUGAUAAUAAAAGCUAUCACUUUUAUACGAGAUACAUAAGUA